rnacentral:rRNA from 1 species
UACGGAGGGGGCUAGCGUUGUUCGGAAUUACUGGGCGUAAAGGGCGCGCAGGCGGCUUGGCAAGUCGAGUGUGAAAUCCCUUGGCUUAACUGAGGAAUGGCGCUCGAAACUACCUCGCUAGAGGGCGGGAGAGGGAAGUGGGAACUCUCGGUGUAGGGGUGAAAUCUGUAGAUAUCGAGAGGAACACCGGUGGCGAAGGCGCUCCUGGCCCGCAUCUGACGCCUGAGGCG